rnacentral:lncRNA from 1 species
CCCCCACAGAAGCCACACAGAUGCCCGGGCUGCGAGGCCGGAGCUGGAACUUGCGGAGCUCGUGUGACGAGAGCACCCGCCCGGGACGAGGAAGGGCUCACCGGAGGGACCGCCAGCAGGGACAUCGUGGAGGCCGCCGGAGGCCGACUGGGGCGGGAGGGGCAGGGGGCACCAUGCCCUCCGGAGCUGCAGGGACAUGGAGCCUCCCAGCCUCGCGGGCUCCCCCCGGC